rnacentral:hammerhead_ribozyme from 1 species
AUCCAACUGACGAGUCCCAAAUAGGAUGAAACGCGCAUCCUGGAU